CGGGAAACUGGGGAUAAUACCCGAUGGUCCUCGGCUGCUGGAAUGCAUCGAGGACGAAAGCUCCGGCGCCUAAGGAUGGGUCUGCGGCCUAUCAGGUAGUAGUGGGUGUAGCGUACCUACUAGCCUACGACGGGUACGGGUUGUGAGAGCAAGAGCCCGGAGAUGGAUUCUGAGACACGAAUCCAGGCCCUACGGGGUGCAGCAGGCGCGAAAACUUUACAAUGCUGGCAACAGCGAUAAGGGAACCUCGAGUGCCAGGUUACAAAUCUGGCUGUCGUGAUGCCUAAAAAGCAUUGCAUAGCAAGGGCCGGGCAAGACCGGUGCCAGCCGCCGCGGUAACA
rnacentral:rRNA from 1 species